AUGGUGAAUCAAAUUAGAAUAUGAACCCUAAACUUUUAGAUGUGUUGAUAGAAGACAAAAACUAUAUUGUAAUAGGCUUCUAAUAUUGACAAGUGCAUUGUAACAACACAAGUGACUUGAUAAUAGGAUAAUUCAAUUUUUAAAUUGUUAAUAUAGAUACUAUGUGAGUGUGCAUGUGCACAUAGACAGCAUGGUAGAUCCUAAGAAAGAAGAGUUGGAUAGAACAAAUGAUCAGAAUGUCAAUUUCCCCUUCCCAAUACCCAAACUUUUCUGUUCUAAUAACCAAUCCUUUUACUGCACAAAUGUUUCAGUAAUGACAAAACCUUUAACCUCAAGACCA
rnacentral:misc_RNA from 1 species